GAGGUGCUGCGUUAAUCCACAGUACUGAAAUAUGAAUCCGAGGAAACACUUAUAAAGUUGUUGUUUGUAAGCUGGCAAGUAGACGACCGUACUUUAAAAGGCGAGAAACAUGGCGAAAGAGCAAGAUUGAAGACUAACAGCGUACAUACGAAGACUCAUUCGGCAGAGCGUGACAGACCUUCAACAAUGGAAAAGAAGCUCUUUCUGCUCCACAAUGACACAUUCCCCACAUUACUGGCCGUGGAGAGAGGACUCUGGACUCCAGCCCGUUCCAGUGGGCUUCAGGCCAGCAUAUUUGAAGCUAGCCAUCAACUUUACCUCAUGUUUCUGACGAGGACAAAGAUAAAGAAACCAUGGCCGAGACUGCAUCCACCUCAUCAAGGCAGCUUGAGUCCACAUCACUUUCCAGAACUGAUGCACCACAAGCUUGGAAGUUCAGG